rnacentral:rRNA from 1 species
CACGGGGGGAGCAAGCGUUGUUCGGAAUCACUGGGCGUAAAGGGCGUGUAGGCGGUCAGGUUAGUGAGAUGUGAAAUGCCCCGGCUCACCCGGGGACCUGCAUCUCAAACUGCCUGGCUUGAGUAUGGGAGAGGAUGAGGGAAUUCCUGGUGUAGCGGUGAAAUGCGUAGAUAUCUGGAGGAAUACCGGUGGCGAAGGCGGCAUCCUGGACCAUAACUGACGCUGAGGCGCGAAAGCCAGGGGAGCAAACGGG